rnacentral:tRNA from 1 species
CCCUAAGUGGUGCAAAUAGUUAACAUACUUGGCUGCUAACCAAAAGAUUGGAGGUUCGAGUCCACCCAGAGGUG